rnacentral:rRNA from 1 species
AACGAACGCUGGCGGCAUGCCUAACACAUGCAAGUCGAACGGUGCCUUCGGGCACAGUGGCGCACGGGUGAGUAACACGUGGGAAUUUGCCUUUCGGUUCGGAAUAACGUUUGGAAACGAACGCUAACACCGGAUACGCCCUUCGGGGGAAAGUUUACGCCGAGAGAGGAGCCCGCAUCCGAUUAGGUAGUUGGUGAGGUAAUGGCUCACCAAGCCUUCGAUCGGUAGCUGGUCUGAGCGGAUGAUCAGCCACACUGGGACUGAGACACGGUCCCGACUCCUACGGGAGGCAGCAGUGAGGAAUAUUGGACAAUGGGCGCAAGCAUGAUCAAGCAAUGCCGCGUGAGUGAUGAAGGCCUUAGGGUUGUAAAGCUCUUUCGAACGGGACGAUGAUGACGGUAACGUGAGAAGAAGCCCCGGCUAACUUCGUGCCAGCCGCCGCCGUAA